rnacentral:rRNA from 1 species
GAUGAACGCUGGCGGCGUGCCUAAUACAUGCAAGUCGAGCGAACGGACGAGAAGCUUGCUUUUCUGAUGUUAGCGGCGGACGGGUGAGUAACACGUGGAUAACCUACCUAUAAGACUGGGAUAACUUCGGGAAACCGGAGCUAAUACCGGACAAUAUUUUGAACCGCAUGGUUCAAAAGUGAAAGACGGUCUUGCUGUCACUUAUAGAUGGACCCGCGCUGCAUUAGCUAGUUGGUAAGGUAACGGCUUACCAAGGCAACGAUGCAUAGCCGACCUGAGAGGGUGAUCGGCCACACUGGAACUGAGCCACGGUCCAGACUCCUACGGGAGGCAGCAGUAGGGAAUCUUCCGCAAUGGGCGAAAGCCUGACCGAGCAACGCCGCGUGAGUGAUGAAGGUCUUCGGAUCGUAAAACUCUGUUAUUGGGGAAGAACAUAUGUGUAAGUAGCUGUGUACGUCUUGACGGUACCUAAUCAGAAAGCCACGGCUAACUACGUG